rnacentral:lncRNA from 1 species
UUACUUUGGCACGACGGCCUCGACACGGAUAGAAGCGCAUCUCGUCAUUUCGCAAGAAUGGAUAUCAUUACAAGUACAUGUACUGAAAAUAUGAGUAUAUGGAAUUGGCUUACACUCGCCACAAGCUACAUCAGACUCACAUCAGUACAAUACAUAAACAUCAUGAAGAAGAGCAGGCUCCGACUACGGACGAAAAACAAACGACAAAAUAACGACGUCCAUCCUUGCUAUCCCAGGCUACCGGUCUGGAACCCAUCCUAGAUCGACGAAGAAGAAGAAGAAGAAACUCCAAAUGAACAAUCAUCGUGCUCACAUCUCAAAAUCACUUUACCUGUACCUACAACUGGUGUUGUAGUAAUCUGUGAGCCAUAGGGGACUCAACUAUCUCAUUUCCAAAGGUAUAAAGACUAGUAAAGCUUAAUCGGUGAGCUAUGUUAAGUGGUGAGGCUGCAGCAAGCGACUAAGCAUUUAUUUAGUGGCUAACUUACGAGUACAAGAAUAAAGAGGUUGGAAGAUCUACGCACAGCGGAAGUGAACUACUGAUGAUCAAAUGAAUGACCCUGAACACCUACUUAUGUCAAACAUAACCCCACCAUGUCCUCGAUAGGAGAAGGAGCUCACGAAAGAGACAAUCAUGGUUACACACUCAGUUGACAUAUUUUAAUUAAGUUAACUUCAAGUUAUCUAGAUCCGGAUGUUAAACAAAGCUUCCACGUUGCCACGUAACUGCAGGCACGACUUUCCGAAAGAUUUAACCCUGUAGGGGUGCUCCAACUACUCCAUCACAAACUACCACACGCUCCGACGAAAUGACCUCGAUCAGGGAAACCCGUGAUUUCCUCGAUUCCAUUGGAAAACCUCAACCUCGAGUUAGCUCGAAGCAUCCUUGGAAUCCCUCGCACAAGAUGUUCGAUAAAGGUAAAACAAUUCCAGCAAGGCCGCCCGGCGUGUCGACGAACCUGAUAGGAG